rnacentral:tmRNA from 1 species
GUACCGCAAGGUUGCGUGUCGUGGCGCCUGACCACGAUAAAACGGGCAAAAACACAAACGGCGAACGAGAAGUCGCCCUCGCAGCUGCUUAAUCAGCCGCGACGUCCGGUAGGAGUCGUCCUCAGCGGCACUUAUCGGGCGCCGAACUCCUGAGGUGCGGAUGUGCAACGCCGGUAGCACGUCCAAAGAUAACCGGCAACCGUGACCAGUGACGGACGCCGUUGGCAUCGUCCGGAAGCGGUAUAUGCAACCAACGGCUACACACGUAGAAGCUUUGACGGGAAACUUUCUGGACGGGGAGUUCGACCCUCCCCCGUCUCCACCA